UAUGAAAAGUUGGGGAUUGAAUGAUAAUUUUUGGAAUUAUUACAGUGGAUUUGGAGAUCUAAAACAUCUAAAUUUAUUGUUGGGGUUGAGAAUUUGCUAUCUAUGGAGGAAUGCUAGCCAUCAUCUUUAAUAACAGUCACUUUUAACUUUUAUUAUAUUAUUUAGUGAUAAAUAGGAGAGAAAAAUAAAAGAAAAUCGUAAAAAAUAAAUGGUGUAGACCAAUAAUAUGAUAAGUGUUGAAACUGACUGUUAUUGAAAAUGGUGGCCACUCUCUGCUGGUGUGAUUUGUUGAUUGAGCUUAUUGCAUGAUGAGAUUUUGCAAGGAUACUGUGUUCUGCAAGGUGAAGGUGAUCUGCAGAGGGAAUGAGAGUGGGAAAGGGAGAGACAAGAG
rnacentral:misc_RNA from 1 species